UGACGGUACUUGACUAAGAAGCUCCGGCUAAAUACGUGCCAGCAGCCGCGGUAAUACGUAUGGAGCAAGCGUUAUCCGGAUUUACUGGGUGUAAAGGGAGCGUAGACGGCGAGGCAAGUCUGAUGUGAAAGCCAUGGGCUCAACCCAUGAACUGCAUUGGAAACUGUUUUGCUUGAGUGUCGGAGAGGUAAGCGGAAUUCCUAGUGUAGCGGUGAAAUGCGUAGAUAUUAGGAGGAACACCAGUGGCGAAGGCGGCUUACUGGACGAUAACUGACGUUGAGGCUCGAAAGCGUGGGGAGCAAACAGGAUUAGAUACCCUG
rnacentral:rRNA from 1 species